AUUGAACGCUGGCGGUAUGCUUAAGACAUGCAAGUCGAACGGUAACAGACCUUCGGGUGCUGACGAGUGGCGGACGGGUGAGUAACACGUGGGAAUCUACCUUGUAGUGGGGGAUAAGCCAGGGAAACUUGGACUAAUACCGCAUACGCCCUAAGGGGGAAAGGCGCAAGUCGCUAUAAGAUGAGCCCGCGUCUGAUUAGCUAGUUGGUGGGGUAAAGGCCUACCAAGCCGACGAUCAGUAGCUGGUCUGAGAGGAUGAUCAGCCACGUCGGGACUGAGACACGGCCCGGACUCCUACGGGAGGCAGCAGUCGGGAAUAUUGGACAAUGGGGGAAACCCUGAUCCAGCAAUACCGCGUGUGUGAAGAAGGCCUGCGGGUUGUAAAGCACUUUCAGUUGGGAAGAUAAUGACGUUACCAACAGAAGAAGCACCGGCUAACUCCGUG
rnacentral:rRNA from 1 species